AGUGAACGCUGGCGGUAGGCCUAACACAUGCAAGUCGAACGGCAGCACAGUAAGAGCUUGCUCUUACGGGUGGCGAGUGGCGGACGGGUGAGGAAUACAUCGGAAUCUACUUUUUCGUGGGGGAUAACGUAGGGAAGCUUACGCUAAUACCGCAUACGACCUACGGGUGAAAGCAGGGGAUCUUCGGACCUUGCGCGAUUGAAUGAGCCGAUGUCGGAUUAGCUAGUUGGCGGGGUAAAGGCCCACCAAGGCGACGAUCCGUAGCUGGUCUGAGAGGAUGAUCAGCCACACUGGACCUGAGACACGGUCCAGACUCCGACGGGAGGCACCAGUGGGGAAUAUUGGACAAUGGGCGCAAGCCUGAUCCAGCCAUACCGCGUGGGUGAAGAAGGCCUUCGGGUUGUAAAGCCCUUUUGUUGGGAAAGAAAAGCAGCAGGUUAAUACCCCGCUGUUCUGACGGUACCCAAAGAAUAAGCACCGGCUAACUUCGUG
rnacentral:rRNA from 1 species